rnacentral:lncRNA from 1 species
UAGUUUAUUAACACGGCAACCCAUAUGAAAAAUUCAAGUCUUCCAAAGGGCACAUUCUAGACGUUCGAUGCACAUCUAAAUUCAAGUGAGUCGUUAACCUAGAAUUGCUCACGAUCAAUUAAAUCAAAAGAGCUUCGUUCUACAGAGGGAUUGAAGCAUCUCUCACUCAAAGUACCAUAAUUGCAGUUGCUCAGGAUCUAAGAGUACAUGUUGGGAAGCCCCAAAUUGACUUCUUGAUAUAUCUCUUGUCGAUGACUUCGCUCAACUGGUACAGCGUUAGGCGAGUUUCAAUCUGCCUCGAAGACUUCCAUGGUAAUCCUGUGCAAGAUGGCUGGUUCUGAUAAGAUCGUAUAAUUUCCAUGGUUGACCCGAGAAUAACCAGGGUAAAAUCAAUGAAAUCUCAGGUAAGAACUUACAGGGAGCAUGAGUUUCUUAAGUGGGCCUGCUUUUUCUUUGUCUUUUAUGUUUUCAUAAU